GAUGAACGCUGGCGGCGUGCCUAACACAUGCAAGUCGAGCGGAACCGUUAAGAGAUUCAUUAGAUGAUCUUAUCGGUUUAGCGGCGGAUGGGUGAGUAACACGUGGGUAACCUGCCCUUCACUGGGGGAUAACAGUUGGAAACGACUGUUAAUACCGCAUAAGCGCACAGUGUCGCAUGACACAGUGUGAAAAACUCCGGUGGUAUGAGAUGGGCCCGCGUCAGAUUAGCCAGUUGGCGGGGUAACGGCCCACCAAAGCGACGAUCUGUAGCCGGCCUGAGAGGGCGGACGGCCACAUUGGGACUGAGACACGGCCCAAACUCC
rnacentral:rRNA from 1 species